UAGGGAAUCUUCCGCAAUGGGCGAAAGCUUGCCGGAGCAACGCCGCGUGAGUGAUGAAGGUCUUCGGAUCGUAAAACUCUGUUAUUAGGGAAGAACAAAUGUGUAAGUAACUAUGCACGUCUUGACGGUACCUAAUCAGAAAGCCCCGGCUAACUACGUGCUAGCAGCCGCGGUAAUACGUAGGUGGCAAGCGUUUUCCGGAAUUAUUGGGCGUAAAGCGCGCGUAGGCGUUUUUUUAAGUCUGAUGUGAAAGCCCACGGCUCAACCGUGGAGGGUCAUUGGAAACUGGAAAACUUGAGUGCAGAAGAGGAAAGUGGAAUUCCGUGUGUAGCGGUGAAAUGCGCAGAGAUAUGGAGGAACACCAGUGGCGAAGGCGACUUUCUGGUCUGUAACUGACGCUGAUGUGCGAAAGCGUGGGGAUCAAACAGG
rnacentral:rRNA from 1 species